rnacentral:antisense_RNA from 1 species
UAGUCACAGAGUAAAUAAACUAAGACUCAAAACUGGAAGUUAGGUUUGUGGAGUUCUGUCACAAUUAUGAUGACAAUAAUCACUCUGUCUUUUCUCCUACUACUCUCCUCUUCCCUGUCUCCUCUCCAGCCACGUUGCCUCCUGGCUGUUCCUGGAACACUCCAGGUGAUUCCAAAACUCCUCCCAGUUAAGAAACAAUGGAUCAAGCAUCCUCAUUUUACAGAUCGAGGAAACUGAGGCCCAGCAUGGUGCCAUGAUGACUCCAGAUCACUGAGGAAAAGACAGAAGCUGAUUGAGGUCCCAGCUUGGUAACAGUUUGAAGAGUUGCAGGACUGGCUGGAUGAGUACUGGCUGCAGCAAGUCAUGCUGCCAGGAUUCUUUAUGGCUGUUUCUGCUUCCACUACAGCUGAGUCAGAAAGGUCGCUGCCCAGUGGUGGCAGUAGAUGCAGUGGACCUGGCAAGCAAAUGUUUCCGCUAUUAGCUCUCAGCAACAGAGACUCAUUUAUGGUCACCUUGGAAAUCUGGGCUUAUCGAUCUACAGCCCAAGUCUGCUGAGAAGCUGGAGCUUACUAAAGGGGAAACCUGAGAGCUGUUCAAGCCCCAAACAUUUUCCACUUCUGCGUCACCUCUGCUGUCUGUUAGCAGAGUGGAGGAGAAAAUACACCAGCACAAACAACGUGAAAAAAUACUCUAUUCAUUAAAAGCUGUAACUUCCAGACUGGACUUGAGAAGCAAUUAAGCAACAGAGGCACCUCAUCUACUAUCUGUAUUCAGGCAUGCUCAUGAGAACAUGCUGCUCCAGCUGGACUUAGAGGAGCCCGGUGCAUCAGAGGCAUUCCUGACAGAGUCUCGUGGUCCUGCUGGUCCACUCACUGGUACCCAGUCCUCCUCAUCGUCGGGGAUAGGUUCCAAGACCCCCAGGGGAUGCCUGAAACUGCGGAUGGUACCGAACCCUACAUAUAUUAUGUUUUUUUCUAUGCAUACAUACCUAUGAUAAAGCUUAAUUUACAAAUUAGAUAGAGUAAGAGAUUAACAACAAUUAUAGCAAUAUACUGAAAUAAAAGUUUCGUGAAUGUG